GUAGGUGAACCUGCGGAAGGAUCAUUAUGAAUCACCGAGCGAGCGGCUGUUGUAUCGAGCAAUGCAUGCAUGCAAGCAUGCAUUGGGAGAUGCAAUGGACGAUCGACUCGAAACACCCACCCUGUUGAAACGAGUGCAGUCGCGUUGGUUCCUCCUCCAGAAAUAGAGGGGGAUGAACGCACUGUUUUGAAAUAACACCAUUUGAUAUCCAAUGUAUGACAAGAGAAUAACAACCAACUUUUAACAAUGG
rnacentral:misc_RNA from 1 species